CAAUAGCGUAUAUUAAAGUUGUUGCGGUUAAAAAGCUCGUAGUUGGAGUUCUGCCAGGUGCCGCCUGUCCGCCCCAGUGGUGAGUACGUGGCGCGCAUUUGGCCCUUUCAAGGGGAGCGUAUCUGCACUUUAUUGUGUGGUGCGGGAUCCUUGACUUUUACUUUGAGGAAAUAGGAGUGUUCCAAGCAGGCUCUCGUCGUGCACAGCUCAGCAUGGAAUAAUAGCAUUGGACCUCGAUUCUAAGCUGUUGGUUGCCAGAAGCGAGGUAAUGAUGAAGAGGGAUAGUUGGGGGCAUUCGUAUUUAACCGUCAGAGGUGAAAUUCUUGGAUUUGUUAAAGACGGACUACUGCGAAAGCAUCUGCCAUGGAUGUCUUCAUUGA
rnacentral:rRNA from 1 species